UUAGCGGGCAUUGCGCCCGGCCCGCCACAGGAGUCGCUGGUGCGCAAUGAGACAAGGACAUCCCUACCGACCAAGCCCUCCCUAACCCGGACGACGCUAAGUUCCCUAACUCUAAAUCAAUAUAUUGCUUUAACUGAUUCUGUUGUCCUGAUCACAUCCUUGGGCAGCACAAUCAUCACUUCUUGCUGAUUUAUGUAUCCUCUGUAUGUAUUAUUGUUACUGUAAUUUAAUUAUGCCAAUGUGCUUUCAUUAAUUGAAAACCCUUAAUCUAUUUUAUGAGAAUUUGUAAGAUUCUUGAUCGCAUAAAAUAGACGGAGACCAGUCUUUCAAUAAUAGGUAACAGAAUCUAUUCUCGGAGCGUGCUCCCACUUUACCACGAGCAACAGUUUAUAUACAAAUCAUGACGUAAUUUCAUUGUUUUAACAGAAUCCCCUCCUCUCGACCGGGACAAAGUGAGGUGAAAAGUUCAUUCUAACUUACUAACACACUCCCAGCCUUGAACGUACAGGUCCCUCCACCAUUGCCUCCUGCCUCCCGUCCGGCUGAUGACCCAUCCCGUGCCCCCCAGGACCCACCCCUUGCCGUCCUGGACCAGGCCCACCUGAAUUCAUCCCAGGCUCCUGUCCUUGGGGCAAAGAGAAGAAGAGGAGGAUGUGCCCCGGCUGUCCUUCCUGCCUCCAAGGCCUGCCCAAGAAAGUGCUGAGCUGCUGCUUCCAGAGAGCUGGCGGGAAACUCUCAACAAGGAGCAGCAGCGAUGGAUUGGCAGGAAGCUGUUUACCAGGAGCAGGUCCCAAUUUCAUCACAGACUUGCGUCCAUGGUGGUACCCUCCCCAACCCCGGCCGGUCUACAAUCAGCCAUCCGCAUCACCCGACCCCUUCUUUGCAUGUACGCUGUUCCUCUGGAUGCCCGUUUGUAUGUGGGC